AGCAGCCGCGGUAAUUCCAGCUCCAAUAGCGUAUAUUAAAGUUGUUGCAGUUAAAAAGCUCGUAGUUGAAUUUCGGGAUCAGUACGCUGGUCAUGCCUUUGGUAUGCACUGGUGUCACUGGUUUCUCCCUUCUGAAGAACCGUGAUGUCAUUAAUUUGGUGUCGCGGGGAAUCAGGACUGUUACUUUGAAAAAUUAGAGUGUUUAAAGCAGGCUCACGCUUGAAUACAUUAGCAUGGAAUAAUGAAAUAGGACGUUUGACCCUAUUUUGUUGGUUUCUAGGAUCGACGUAAUGAUUAAUAGGGAUAGUUGGGGGCAUUAGUAUUCAAUUGUCAGAGGUGAAAUUCUUGGAUUUAUUGAAGACUAACUACUGCGAAAGCAUUUGCCAAGGAUGUUUUCAUUAAUCAAGAACGAAAGUUAGGGGAUCGAAGACGAUCAGAUACCGUCGUAGU
rnacentral:rRNA from 2 species